ACCCUGCUGGCUUAGCUGAUAGAGCAUGAGACUCUUGAUCUCAGGGUAAUGAGUUUGAGUCCCAUGUUGGACA
rnacentral:tRNA from 1 species